GUGCUCGCUUCGGCAGCACAUGUACUAAAAUUGGAACGAUGCAGAGAUUAGCAUGGCCCCAGCGCAAGGAUGGCACACAAAUUCAUGAUGCAUUCCAUAUUCUU
rfam:Pongo abelii chromosome 7.